UACGUAGGGCGCAAGCGUUGUCCGGAAUUAUUGGGCGUAAAGAGCUCGUAGGCGGUCUGUCGCGUCGGCUGUGAAAACCCGGGGCUCAACCCCGGGCCUGCAGUCGAUACGGGCAGACUAGAGUGUGGUAGGGGAGACUGGAAUUCCUGGUGUAGCGGUGGAAUGCGCAGAUAUCAGGAGGAACACCAGUGGCGAAGGCGGUGCUCUGGGCCGGAACUGACGCUGAGGAGCGAAAGCGUGGGUAGCAAACAGG
rnacentral:rRNA from 1 species